rnacentral:rRNA from 1 species
AGAGUUUGAUCAUGGCUCAGAGCGAACGGCGGCAGGCCUAACACAUGCAAGUCGAGCGCCGUAGCAAUACGGAGCGGCAGACGGGAGAGUAACACGUGGGAACGUGCCCUUUGGUUCGGAACAACACAGGGAAACUUGUGCUAAUACCGGAUAAGCCCUUACGGGGAAAGAUUUAUCGCCAAAGGAUCGGCCCGCGUCUGAUUAGCUAGUUGGUGGGGUAACGGCCCACCAAGGCGACGAUCAGUAGCUGGUCUGAGAGGAUGAUCAGCCUCACUGGGACUGAGACACGGCCCAGACUCCUACGGGAGGCAGCAGUGGGGAAUAUUGGACAAUGGGCGCAAGCCUGAUCCAGCCAUGCCGCGUGGAUGAUGAAGGCCCUAGGGUUGUAAAGUCCUUUCGACGGGGAAGAUAAUGACGGUACCCGUAGAAGAAGCCCCGGCUAACUUCGUGCCAGCAGCCGCGGUAAUACGAAGGGGGCUAGCGUUGCUCGGAAUCACUGGGCGUAAAGCGCACGUAGGCGGCUUUCUAAGUCAGGGGUGAAAUCCUGGAGCUCAACUCCAGAACUGCCUUUGAUACUGAAGAUCUUGAGUCCGGGAGAGGUGAGUGGAACUGCGAGUGUAGAGGUGAAAUUCGUAGAUAUUCGCAAGAACACCAGUGGCGAAGGCGGCUCACUGGCCCGGUACUGACGCUGAGGCACGAAAGCGUGGGGAGCAAACAGGAUUAGAUACCCUAGUAGUCC